rnacentral:rRNA from 1 species
AACCAGCACCUCAAGUGGUCAGGAUGAUUAUUGGGCCUAAAGCAUCCGUAGCUCGUUUUGUAAGUUUUCGGUUAAAUCCAUGCGCUUAACGUAUGGGCUGCCGGGAAUACUGCAUAACUAGGAAGUGGGAGAGGUAGACGGUACUCGGGAGGAAGGGGUAAAAUCCUUUGAUCUCUUGAUGACCACCUGUGGCGAAGGCGGUCUACCAGAACACGUUCGACGGUGAGGGAUGAAAGCUGGGGGAGCAAACCGGAUUAGAUACCCGGGUAGUCCCAGCUGUAAACUAUGCAAACUCAGUGAUGCAUUGGCUUAUGGCCAAUGCAGUGCUGCAGGGAAGCCGUUAAGUUUGCCGCCUGGGAAGUACGUACGCAAGUAUG